rnacentral:rRNA from 2 species
UAGGGAAUUUUGCGCAAUGGACGAAAGUCUGACGCAGCAACGCCGCGUGAGGGAUGAAGGUCUUCGGAUUGUAAACCUCUGUUGAAUGGGAAAAAAAGGUAGCAAUACGUUGAUGGUACCAUUUGAGGAAGCACCGGCUAACUACGUGCCAGCAGCCGCGGUAAUACGUAGGGUGCAAGCGUUGUUCGGAAUCACUGGGCGUAAAGGGAGCGUAGGCGGGAUCGUAAGUUAGGAGUUUAAUACAUGGGCUUAACCCGUGGCUGGCUUUUAAUACUGCGGUUCUUGAGUAUGGGAGAGGGCGAUGGAAUUCCAGGUGUAGCGGUGGAAUGCGUAGAUAUCUGGAAGAACACCAGUAGCGAAGGCGGUCGCCUGGCCUAAUACUGACGCUGAUGCUCGAAAGCUAGGGGAGCAAACAGG